rnacentral:rRNA from 1 species
GACGAACGCUGGCGGCGUGCUUAACACAUGCAAGUCGAACGGAAAGGCCCUGCUUGCAGGGUACUCGAGUGGCGAACGGGUGAGUAACACGUGGGUGAUCUGCCCUGCACUUCGGGAUAAGCCUGGGAAACUGGGUCUAAUACCGGAUAGGAGCCAUUUUUAGUGUGAUGGUUGGAAAGUUUUUUCGGUGUAGGAUGAGCUCGCGGCCUAUCAGCUUGUUGGUGGGGUAAUGGCCUACCAAGGCGGCGACGGGUAGCCGGCCUGAGAGGGUGGACGGCCACAUUGGGACUGAGAUACGGCCCAGACUCCUACGGGAGGCAGCAGUGGGGAAUAUUGCACAAUGGGCGCAAGCCUGAUGCAGCGACGCCGCGUGGGGGAUGACGGCCUUCGGGCUGUAAACUCCUUUCGCUAGGGACGAAGCUUUUUGUGACGGUACCUAGAUAAGAAGCACCGGCUAACUACGUG